AAUAAGAGGUCACGCCUGCCCAGUGACUAUAUGUUCAACGGCCGCGGUAUUUUGACCGUGCAAAGGUAGCGCAAUCACUUGUCUUUUAAAUGGGGACCUGUAUGAAUGGCAUCACGAGGGCUUAACUGUCUCCUUUCUCAGGCCAAUGAAAUUGAUCUCCCCGUGCAGAAGCGGGGAUAAUUACAUAAGACGAGAAGACCCUAUGGAGCUUUAGACACUAAGACAGCUUAUGUCAAUUACUCCUAACAAAGAAAUGAACUAAGUGAAUUCUGUCCUAAUGUCUUUGGUUGGGGCGACCCUGGGAAAAUAAAGAACUCCCAUGUGGACUGGAAACAUGUUUCCAAAACCAAGAGCUUCAGCUCUAAGAAGCAGAACUUCUGACCAAUUAGAUCCGGCAACGCCGAUCAACGGACCGAGUUACCCUAGGGAUAACAGCGCAAUCCUCUUUUAGAGUUCAUAUCGACAAGGGGGUUUACGACCUCGAUGUUGGAUCAGGACAUCCUAAUGGUGCAGCCGCUAUUAAGGGUUCGUUUGUUCAACGAUUAAAGUCCU
rnacentral:rRNA from 1 species